rnacentral:lncRNA from 1 species
UUUUUGCUUCUCUUGGGCGCCCAUAGUUUUAAAUUUUCCAUAUAUACAUAUACCAUACAUCUAUAUAUAAGUGUACAGCCCUAGACUCUCCAAGAAACCCAACAGUCUCUUCUAGGUAUCCAAACAGUGCUUGACAACAAUGGCUGACAAACCACCACAGCAACCAAAUGGCAACAAGGUGAAGAUCUCUCUCCCUCUCUCUCUCUCUGACCUCUCUUGCUUUGGUUGUAUAUCAUACAUGUGUGUGCAAAUAUAUAUAUAUAUAAGAAAAACCCAUUAAUCCUGUCCUUGUUUUCCACUUUUUCAGGAUCCAAAGGAGAAGAAAGAAGGGAUGACAAGCAAUGAGAAUGGAGAGUCUUACCCCGUCCUGAGCCUCCCGCGGGUAUCUGAUUAAUUAAUAAGUUCUAGCAAUUAAAGUAUUCCCGUAUCACUAACUGACAUAUAUAUGUGUGUGUGUGUGUGUUUAUGAAGUUCUUUGCCAUGUUGGAACUGCGAAUGAAAAUGGCCAUUGAAGCCGCCCUGAAGCUGGAUGAGGGUAAGUUCUGCUUAAGUUUUAACUUGUUCAGUAAAUACAUAAGUAGAUAUAUAGAUACAUAUAUGUAUAUGUAUAUUUGUUUGAUAAAUGGAUUGAGAUAAUGAGUGAUUGGAUUUACAGAGACUGCCAAGCGUAACAGGAAAGACCCUGACUCGUCCAAGGACAAGGAGCCUGGUCCAGGCUCUUCAUCGGCAUGAAUGAGACACAUGGAAAAGAUCACAGAGAGAUAUAUUAUAGAUGAAUCAUGAGUUCAAGCUAGAAGAUCUACCAGAGUAUCUGCUUUACAUUAUCGUUUCGUUAUAUAUAUAUAUAUGAUAUAUGAAUAUGUAAUAUAUGGUCAAGAACAUGAAUGAGAAGUGAUCUCUUUUCAAAUCCAAAUUUCACAUGCUUGAAUGUAUUAGUCACACAUAUAUACAUAUAUAUAUAUAUAUAUAUGUUUGUCCAAUGAUUUCAUUUACACCAUGUACAAAAAA